CUGCAGCCCGAGUGGUGAUCGAUUUUAUUGAGCCUAAAGCGUCCGUAGCCGGACUAGUAAACCCUUGGGUAAAUUGGGCAGCUUAACUGUCCAAAUUCCGAGGGGACUGCUAGUCUUGGGACCGGGAGAGGUCAGAGGUACUCAAGGGGUAGGGGCUAAAUCCUGUAAUCCUUUGGGGACCACCAGUGGCGAAGACGUCUGACUAGAACGGAUCCGACGGUAAGGGACGAAACCCUGGGGCGCGAACCGGAUUAGAUACCCGAGUAGUCC
rnacentral:rRNA from 1 species